UGGGAUGUCGGCAAGAGGUUUAAGCCACCGGGUUUUGGUUCCGGCACUCGAAGGUUCGAAUCCUUCCAUCCCAG
rnacentral:tRNA from 1 species